rnacentral:rRNA from 1 species
AAUGGGUCAGCGACUUAUAUUCUGUAGCAAGGUUAACCGAAUAGGGGAGCCGAAGGGAAACCGAGUCUUAACUGGGCGUUAAGUUGCAGGGUAUAGACCCGAAACCCGGUGAUCUAGCCAUGGGCAGGUUGAAGGUUGGGUAACACUAACUGGAGGACCGAACCGACUAAUGUUGAAAAAUUAGCGGAUGACUUGUGGCUGGGGGUGAAAGGCCAAUCAAACCGGGAGAUAGCUGGUUCUCCCCGAAAGCUAUUUAGGUAGCGCCUCGUGAAUUCAUCUCCGGGGGUAGAGCACUGUUUCGGCAAGGGGGUCAUCCCGACUUACCAACCCGAUGCAAACUGCGAAUACCGGAGAAUGUUAUUACGGGAGACACACGGCGGGUGCUAACGUCCGUCGUGAAGAGGGAAACAACCCAGACCGCCAGCUAAGGUCCCAAAGUCAUGGUUAAGUGGGAAACGAUGUGGGAAGGCCCAGACAGCCAGGAUGUUGGCUUAGAAGCAGCCAUCAUUUAAAGAAAGCGUAAUAGCUCACUGGUCGAGUCGGCCUGCGCGGAAGAUGUAACGGGGCUAAACCAUGCACCGAAGCUGCGGCAGCGACACUAUGUGUUGUUGGGUAGGGGAGCGUUCUGUAAGCCUGUGAAGGUGUGCUGUGAGGCAUGCUGGAGGUAUCAGAAGUGCGAAUGCUGACAUAAGUAACGAUAAAGCGGGUGAAAAGCCCGCUCGCCGGAAGACCAAGGGUUCCUGUCCAACGUUAAUCGGGGCAGGGUGAGUCGACCCCUAAGGCGAGGCCGAAAGGCGUAGUCGAUGGGAAACAGGUUAAUAUUCCUGUACUUGGUGUUACUGCGAAGGGGGGACGGAGAAGGCUAUGUUGGCCGGGCGACGGUUGUCCCGGUUUAAGCGUGUAGGCUGAUUUUCCAGGCAAAUCCGGAAAAUCAAGGCUGAGGCGUGAUGACGAGGCACUACGGUGCUGAAGCAACAAAUGCCCUGCUUCCAGGAAAAGCCUCUAAGCAUCAGGUAACAUCAAAUCGUACCCCAAACCGACACAGGUGGUCAGGUAGAGAAUACCAAGGCGCUUGAGAGAACUCGGGUGAAGGAACUAGGCAAAAUGGUGCCGUAACUUCGGGAGAAGGCACGCUGAUAUGUAGGUGAAGCGACUUGCUCGUGGAGCUGAAAUCAGUCGAAGAUACCAGCUGGCUGCAACUGUUUAUUAAAAACACAGCACUGUGCAAACACGAAAGUGGACGUAUACGGUGUGACGCCUGCCCGGUGCCGGAAGGUUAAUUGAUGGGGUUAGCGGUAACGCGAAGCUCUUGAUCGAAGCCCCGGUAAACGGCGGCCGUAACUAUAACGGUCCUAAGGUAGCGAAAUUCCUUGUCGGGUAAGUUCCGACCUGCACGAAUGGCGUAAUGAUGGCCAGGCUGUCUCCACCCGAGACUCAGUGAAAUUGAACUCGCUGUGAAGAUGCAGUGUACCCGCGGCAAGACGGAAAGACCCCGUGAACCUUUACUAUAGCUUGACACUGAACAUUGAGCCUUGAUGUGUAGGAUAGGUGGGAGGCUUUGAAGUGUGGACGCCAGUCUGCAUGGAGCCGACCUUGAAAUACCACCCUUUA